rnacentral:rRNA from 1 species
UAAAAGUCGUAACAAGNUUUCCGUAGGUGAACCUGCGGAAGGAU